CCUACGGGUGGCUGCAGUGGGGGAUAUUGCACAAUGGGGGGAACCCUGAUGCAGCGACGCAGCGUGGGUGAAGAAGCGCCUCGGCGUGUAAAGCUCUGUCAGCAGGGAAGAAAAUGACGGUACCUGAAGAAUAAGCUCCGGCUAAAUACGUGCCAGCAGGCGCGGUAAUACGGAGGGGGCAAGCGUUAUCCGGAUGUACUGGGUGUAAAGGGGGCGCAGACGGCGUUGCAAGCCAGGAGUGAAAGCGUGGGGCCCAACCGCGGGACUGCGCUUGGAACUGGGUGGCUGGAGUGCAGGAGAGGCAAGCGGAAUUCCUGGUGUAGCGGUGAAAUGCGUAGAUAUCAGGAGGAACACCGAUGGCGAAGGCGGCCUACUGGACUGCAACUGACGCUGAGGCCCGAAAGCGUGGGGAGCAAACAGGAUUAGAUACCCCAGUAGUC
rnacentral:rRNA from 1 species